AUUCGGAUGACGAGUCCCAAAUAGGACGAAGUAUGCGUUGUCCUGGAU
rnacentral:hammerhead_ribozyme from 1 species